GGCCUAAGCCACGUCUCCGGUAGCUACAAGCUUUGACCGGAGAUGCUUUGAUUAGGCCAAAACAGAGUUGGUUUCUGACAUUUCACAUGUUGAUAGGAACCUGGGGCUGCUUCUCUAUCGGUCUACAGAGCCGGUUUCUGUGAUUACAUUU
rnacentral:snoRNA from 1 species